CAUAACUUGGCUGGCUACGUGAUUUGAGUGUCGAAAGGAGGCCUUUGCAAGGCCCAUAGUGGCCAUGGGUUAGUGGGAUGCUGCAGCUCUUCUGGGACCACGAGAAGAGUGUAUGCUGCCUGGUGUGCAUGUGGCUCACCAAAACCUUGGGCUGCUCCUUCACCAGGGCCCAUGAGACCACAGCUACAGUCCAGGGGAAGUGGUAGCCCCUUCAACAGUGCUUGAAGAUGCUCACUGAAGAGAGGAGUCUUCAUGUUCCCAGGAUCAAGAUGUGUUCUACAGACUACUGCCACUUCAAAAUCAUUCCUGACUGUUCAAGAUGACCAGUUGACUCUUGAAGAACAUACCAACCACGUCCUUUACUUCCUUCAUUUUGAAGGAAGCUGCCUGGUUGGAACACAAGUUGAGACCAUUGAAAGGAAGGACAGUUAUGCAGACAGAAAAUCAACAUAGACUGAUGAUAAACACUGGCUAUCUUAUUUUCACUGAACAGAGGUUAAAAUUUUCAGC